GGCAAUUUGAGGUUGAAGUUGUAUUCGUGUUAAUUAUAGUGUCAAUAAUUGGAUUAUAAUUACAAGUUCUUAUUUUUUUAUCAACAUUUAAAAUAAUUUAACAAUAUUUUUUUAUCUGAGAAUUGAAAAUUUUACUCAGUUAUUAUUGAAAUUUUCUUUAUUUUCCCAAUUUUAAAGAGAAUUUUUUUUUCAUUAUUUUUUUAAAAAAUUAUGGCUGAUUUGGUCCGGAACCAAAACCUCCAUUGAAUUUGGACUAAACUUGGAACCAAAUUGCCUUGGACCGAAACUGAAUGGUACUGUCUACCGCCCGUUGGAUUCUGAUUCAAUCAUUCCUUCAGCCUUGACUCACCGGUUUCGACUCGGAUCUGUGGCGAAUUCUACUUGGUGAAGAUGCAAGGGAUGUCUUGGUAUUUCCCUCAUGGUGGUGUUCAUUCCUUCCUUUAGAGAGCACAAAUAAUAUUUAGAGAUUGUAGUUAUGCCAUAAGCAUAUACUUAAACAUGGGUUUCACCCGAGAAGUGAGAAGCGCAUCUUCCAGAGGUAAAUGGGAGCAACGGGAAAGUUGCCUAGGAUUCCAUUACGUUUUUGUACACCCUAAAUAUGGAGCUACAAAGGUAAUCGACAUCCUAUUCUUUUUCCACAGUAGUUAUAAAGUGUAGGACAAGUUGUACGCAUACCAAUCAUUCAUGGAAAUUUGUGGUCAUAAAGCUUUUAUAGGAAAUCAUGAACAUAGGCCUCCAAAGUCCCACCUAUUUCUCUGCCUCUAUAGAAUCAAAGACUAAAAGCAAAUAAUCAUGGAUAAAAGCAAAGCACAAAGUGGUUUACUUUAUGUUUUGCAAAUGUCAAAAAGAUUCAAUUUCCCAAAAGCGCUUUUUUACAAGACAGAAUUCAUAUAAUUCCCUUUUCAACAACAAAGGCUUGAAAUUUAGGAAAAGGCAAAACAACCUUAUCUUUGAAUUAAUAUAGCAGCAACACUGUUCUGAUUGAUGUCAAGGUCCAAGCAAAUACACCUAUGACUAAUCAAAUUAAAAAUAGAUGCCAAAGCUUUUCAUACAUGAACAGGGUGGGAAGGAGCACAGAAACAUUCAUGGCUAUUCCCCACCUAGUCUCACAUUUUUCCAUGCACUGUGAAAGUCUGUAUGUUUGAGGAAGAGAGAAGGAAGGCGAGAUAGGGGCGGGGGGGAAGAAGACGUGUCGCUAAUGCCGUAGAGAGCAUUGUAGCUAGGCCACUAGUUUGCUCAUCUUUCAAAUCAACUGCUUUCAUUACAUUCAUUCGGGAUGUCCCCCACCCAACACUCCUAUAAAAAAAAUCACUUGGGCAGAGAGUAUAUUACUCACCAACGACUCAACCCUUGUUGAUCCAAUGGUUUUAUUGCUAACCCCUAAAAUGUACAACGAGAAGCACACAAAUGGGAAAGAGCUCACUGCUUAAGCAUGUUGUUUACCUGCACAAUGUUUCUCUGUAAAUCAAUCAAACUUUCCCUUUCAAACAAAUAAAUAAACAAACUUACAAUUUCACCCAUCAUUAUCAAUCAAUCCAUGAGGAUAGGCGAUUUUAAACAGAAACCUGUUCUUUCAACACACAAUAUCAAGUGGGUAACAUUUGGCUUGUUGUUCAAGGGAUUUCGCCAGUGCCCAAAACACAUUUAAUGAUACUUGUACUAAUAAGAAUAAUUAAAAUGAAGAGAUAAGAGAGGAAGUUUCGGUAAGUGAUCCAGAAUUGAAGUUUCUAAAUUUAUAACACGAUUCGUCUUUGCAAAGAGCUAGGGUUUUAGAACAAGGAGAUAACAAAGCCAAGAGUUGUGGGUUGCCUUAAUGAUAAACACACACAAACACACACACAAACACACACACAC
rnacentral:misc_RNA from 1 species